CCACUGGUUAAUUUCUCUUCUUAUCCCCAAGUAAUUAACUACUUUUCAUCUCUCCACCGUCAAUUCAACCCCUUUUCGUAGCACCCUGCUACGAGAUGAAGCAUCGCUUCAUCCCCUUUUGGAACCCUCUGCGUUCCAGUUGAUUGGCGGAGUGUCCAUGUCCACGGGGCUUGGCUACCCACUAUACCAAGUGUCGUCGACAGGGCCUGGAGCAAAAUUUUCCCAGCUGAGAUACUGACUCCCAAAGGGCAAACUUAUAUUAUAUAAUAAAAGUGAAACUUUAUCAAGCCUUUGUUAUCAACAGCCUUAUCAAUUUGUCAAAGUACUUGCGUCAGGUUUAGUCAUUUGUCUGGUUCUGGUUUUUAUAUGGUCAGUAAUUGUGGUUCUUCAUCUUAAAGACAAGUUGAGAGACUGUAGCGUUUGGUCCCAUGUUGUAUAUACAUGUACAUGUUUAUGUUGAGUAUAAUUUGGCACCAGCUGUUCCAGGGUUAAAGAGCAACACUUGAAGGAACUAUUAUAUAAGAGGAUCUCCAAAUUUAAGUUAGAGGUCUUGAGGUAAUCAUAAAGCACAGUAGUAUCCAGGAUCACAUACAAUGUGUUAGGGGCGUCACUUGGCAUUCGUCGUCUCCUAUGUGCUUACAUGUCAUGUAGGUCUCAAGUCAUCACUUGGCAUCCGUCUAUCAAUAUUACUUAAGCUGUCAUUUUCCUCCAGGACGAAAGUAUAAAUUGUAACUUAUGCAGAGUAUAAGUGUUGUUUAUUCAGACGGGAUGGUUUCUUCCAUGAGAUG